GCAUAUUUUGUUUUUCGGUCACAAUCGCUCAGAAUAACUAUAGUCUAUAGGACUAAUCCUAUUAAAAGUUAAAACCUAGCUAAGUCUAUUAGUUGUCCAAAUUGUACUUUUGUCAUCUAAUAUAUACGUCUGACCUAAGAGUUGAUUCUAGGGGCAGUUAGGCUACAUGUACAUAGCCAAAAAAGAAUUAACUAUAUAAUCAUAACAAUUUGUAUGCUACGAUAUUUUGUAUAAUUUUAUGAAAUAUUCCAACAAUACCCUUAUCCGCGCGUGAAAGGUUGAAAGUCGUUUUUUUAAUCUGGAAACUGGAAAGUGAAAAGAACGAUUAUUCGCGAGAAAGGAAAAAGGGUUGACUCGACGAGUAACGGUUGUUCAAAGCGACAUCAAUUGGCUCUUCAAAGUUAGGGUUACAUAAGACCUUCUAUUUUCAAGACGGCUCGAGCGAAUGCAGAGCACAAGCCAACCAAUCAAAUAAGUCCAGUAUGAUUGAGAAUUAUGGGGUCAAGCAACAAUUUCAUUGACAAUAAGGUAAAUAUGUGAAUCAAUCUCUUUAAGAAGAUGAAAAAUAAUGCGAUGUAUUGAAUUGGGGAAGAUAAACAGUAUCUUAUGUCAUAUGUUCCAUACUAUUUUUAAAUUAGAGUAUAGUAUACAUUUCUCUUUCUCUUCUUUUGCAAUUUGUUUAUCCUGCUCUGCUUCCUGAUUCUUCUUGGUUUACUACUUGAUCAGUUACAUUGUUUUGUCGUCCAACACCGUCGCCACUCAUCAUCUCCUCUUCGUCUCUUCUUCUAUUCUAUUUUAUAAUCACAGUACAUUGUUUGUUGUACCAUUGUUAUGGUUCCCUUAAUUGUAACUUUUAUCCGCUAACCAUGUUUGUUUAAAAACUUGCGGUGUGUGUCUUAACAUUCCAAGAUAGGUAUAUGUACAAAUUUAUUUAUGUUUGUGUUUCUUUUAUCUUUUACAUAUUCUAUCUCUCACUUCAAUAUAUUGAGGGGUUGCGUGCUGAUUGUUAUACCACAAUCAUUAACUUCUCCACUUAUUAUCCAUAUAUCUUUGAUCAAUUGCAGAACCUACAUAACUUUGGAACGGGGAAAGAAAUGUAUAUUCGGUUUUUUCAAUUUUGGUACAUACUACACUUCAUAUAGUAUAGUCUAGAUCCUUUGUAUUCCCACAAACCACAUUCAGACAUAUAUGUUGCGUUGCCUCCCUCCCCACAAAGUAUCUUCUUAGCCUCCACAUGUAACUCAUGCUUCAUAUAUGCCCAUUUAUACCGCGUCUGAAUGGACAGUAAAUCUUCGUAAUUGUAGACAUUGACGCUAACUUUCAUAAAAUACGCAAGAAUUUGGCAAGUUAAAAGAGAUUAGGAUGGCCAAAUCAUAAACAAGGUGGCCAUACUAUAUUACAGAUAGUAUAGUAUAGCGGUCGCAUCCGAUAUAAAAGUGACAGACUGUUCAAUGUACAGGUUUGGUAUAAUCCAAUUAAGCACAUAGUUUUUUUUUCUUUUGUCUGCUUUCACACGCACAGGCGCCUAUGAGGUUCUUUUUGGAAAUUUUAGACCAAACCUGUAUUUUCUGUGGGUAUUUACUGUAGCAUGACUAUAUUCUUCAUUUUGUUGGUCCUUAUGAAUAUCCGGCAAAUUCUCCCUUGAUUUUAUCACAAAACAUUAUUAUUCAGGGUUUUUUAUAGCAGAAAUUUUAGGGAAAUAUAAAAAAUUAUUUCUUAAUUUUUAACUAAAAAAUAAGAAACUGUUUCUUGUCAAUUUUUCUUUUUUGACUUUCAUUACCGUUUUAAACUAAAACGCUUCUUUAAAUUAUUCUUACAUUAUUAUUAUCAGACGCUCUUCGAUUCGACGUGAAUAUGAAAAUAUCUCUUGCAAUGACAGAGUGAGAAAGGAAAUGUAAUAGAGACCACAAAUAUAUAAAUAUAUUGCGUGAUUAAAUAACUCGUCCGAGUCACUAUCGUAUCCUUUUGGCAACCUUUUCAAGUUUCCUUCGUGAAAAUGACUACACUUUUAAGUUACAAAAAAAAAAAAAAUGACUACACUUUUGAAGUUUACAUGCGACUGUUGUAUGCAAAUAAUACUCGCAAAAAGCAACCUUAAUCAAAAUCUGUAUAUGGUUGUAAAAUAAACAAGUACAUAUCUAAAGGUUGAAUUUUCACUAGAGCUAACUUUCUUAACUUUUAUUUGAAAAUCUGGCAGUUUAUUGCGAAAUAAAUAACUGUUUAUCAGGUGAUAAAAUUCGUUUCUGAUUUAAAGAUAAAAAGACCCAACAUUGAAGUGAGCGGCCAAGAAAAAAACUAGAAGCUAGCUCAAUUUUCAUUAGAUUUUGCUUCCUCAGUAAUCCUACAAAACUUAUUACUAAGUUGAGUAUCUGGGGUUACUUUACCUCCAUAAGUGAUCUUCUUGUUACAUUUGUAUCUUUUGAAUCAAUUUCACUGAAUAUUAUAUUGAACAUCUUUUCCAAUUUUACCUUAAAUAUCUCAGUGCACUUUUAAUAUAUUAAAUCUUCAAAGCUGACGUAGUAUACGAUCAAACACGUUACAUGUAAAUAAUUCAUAAACGGACGAAUAUUUUGCAGGUAGCGAACUACUUUACUAUAAUCCGUACGUUCUCUUGUUAUUAUUUAAUAAAACUUAUCUUUCAUAAGCAAGCGAUAAGUUAACAUAAACUUGGUUUGCAUUAUAUUGAUUUUGUUGAAGUGCUAAAGUCAUUAACGUUUCCGAAAACUUCAAUCUACUAGUAAUGAACAUUAUUGGGUUCCUACAUAACCUCUGAAACAGAUAAUCUGAUAGUGUUGCACUUGCAGAUCUAAAAACAAGAGUGGAUCAAACCUAUCUACUAUUGCAAGAGUAGAUCAAAAAUAUCUAACGGUUUUAAAAUAUAUUUGAAUGGUGAAAAUGAAAAAAAAACGUCAAUACUCUACAAAUUUAAAAUAAGUUAUAUUAUAUUUAUAUUAUUACUUAUUUAUCAUAAUUAAAAUUAGCUAUUUUAAUAAAUAAUUUACAAAUUCAAUAAAUAUAAUAUUUUAUUUAAAUAUAAUAGAAAAUUAAUUUAAACAUAUAUUCGCUAUUUUGAACAUAUAUAUAUAUUUAGAUGAUUAAAAAUAAUCAUAAUUUUUUGGUGAAGUAGUAUUCUAUUACCAACAUAAAUAUAAUAAAUUUUAAUAAAUAUUUUAUAUAUAACAAAUAUUUUACUUUAAGUAUAUAUAAUUGAUGAUGAAUUUAAAAAAAAAUUAGAACAAUGAUAAACUUAUAAAUAAAUAGAUUUAAAGUACAUAUUAGUAGAAUGAUGAAUUAAAAGUUUAUUUUAAUUGUAAUGAAUGAUACUUUAUUUUAUAAUUUUACAUUAUUUAAAACUGAAAUGAUAUAUUACAUAUUUUCAAAGAGAGAACCACUUGCACAACUCUAAAUAUGAAAAGUGUCCAAUGUUACUAGUGUUUCUUGAUUUUUCUUUACAAAAUGAACCACUUUGUACAACUAUUUGAAUUAUUCGGAGAUCAAAUUUUCUUUAGUGGAACUCACAUUUUUGUUACUUAUUUUAAUGACAAAUUUUAGGUGGAUAUUCCACAUUGGAAAACUACUUUUGUUCCAUCUCCCAUCCAAACUAAAUUUACAAUAAUAUAUUCAAAAUUUAUAAUGAUUGGAUUUAAAGUCUUUACGGCUGACUACCGAGGUGCAAUACUAAAAGUCUAAAACCAUAUUGCUUUGUUCUUGAUUUAACUUACAUGUUGUAUUAUUACUUGUAUACUAUACACUCCAGUCGAAAGAGCCUACAGUAAGUUGGCUAUUCGACCAUUUGACUACAAAGAUCUUAACGAUGCAACAAGUUACUUUUCACCAAGGUAUUUCUAGUUCGAAUUCCGAUAGAAAAAUGUUUUUGGUAUUAACACAAGCUAAUUCUGGACCCAAAAACAUUAGGACCCAAGCCAAAACUCCAAAAAUCAUUUCUCAAAUCACAUUCAUAAGGAAAAAAGUUGAAAUAGCAUUUAGAAAAUUUAAGUCCACCUAAAACUAACUUUAGUAAAAUUGUAUAAUAUUAAUGCAUGUGCCGUAGCAUGUUGGGCUGCAAGGUCUCUCUCAAUAAAUUGAAGCCAACUCUAUAUUUCAUUUUAAAACCAAGUCUCACGAAAUAAUUAAAGUCCAAUAAGCGAAAUAUGAGCCCCAGACGCAAGAAAGAGAGGAGAGAUGUGUCUAUGUUUGGUUGAAAACCCCGCCAGCGAUUGGAUACUGAAUUUUAGAAUUUAUAAUGGAGUUGGUUUCAUUUUUAUUCAAAUGAA